rnacentral:ncRNA from 1 species
AAAAAAAUUAUUUAUGGUUUAAAAAUUUAUUAUAAAUUUAUUUUACAUAUAAAUUUUAGUGUUAAUUUUUAAUUUAUUUAAAUAAUAAUUAAUAUUUAUUUGUAGUAAUUAGAAUUAAAAAUUUAAGUAAUUAAGAUUUAGUAAUAUUUAAAUUAAUAACAAAUUUUGUGCCAGCAGUUGCGGUUAUACAAAAAUUAAAUUAAAUUUUUUUAGGGAUUAAUUAAUAAUAGAUUAUAUAAUAAAAUUAAAAUUUAAAUUAUUAAGUGAAAUUUUAAUUUAUGAAAAUUUUAUAUUGAAUUAUGAAUUAAAAAAUUUUAUUAAAAACUAGGAUUAGAUACCCUAUUAUUAAAAAUUUAAAUUAAUAAUACUAAAAUAGUAUAUAAUUAUUUAUAAAAACUUAAAUAAUUUGGCGGUAUUUUAGUUUAUUUAGAGGAAUCUGUUUAUUAAUUGAUAUUCCACGAAUAAAUUUACUUAAUUUAUUUAAUUUUGUAUAUCGUUGUUAAAAAAAUAUUUUAAAAUAAUAAUAAUAUUUUAAUUUUUAUAUUAAAAGUUAAAUCAGAUCAAGAUGCAGAUUAUAAUUAAGAAUAUAAUGGAUUACAAUAAAUUUAUUUAAUUGGAUGUUAUUUUUAAAAAUUAAUUGAAAUUGGAUUUAAAUGUAAUUUUAUUUAAUUUAUUAAAAUGAUUUUAAUUUAAAAUAUGUACAUAUUGCCCGUCGCUUUCAUUAAUAAAUUGAAAUAAGUCGUAACAAAGUAGAGGUACUGGAAAGUGUUUCUAGAAAGAGUA